UAAUGGAUUUUGAAACAAUAGAUCUUUUUACUUAUAAGUUAUAAGUAAAAAAAAAACAAACCGUAAUAUUUCACAGACAUGUUCUCAACUAUAUUUUAUAUCAAUUUGGAGUCUUAGCUAUCAGUUAUCACUAUAKCCUGAGUGGUUUUAUCCCGCACAAUAUGGUUUUUGUUAUAUUGUACUUUUAUUAGACAAAAACAACACAUGUGGGUGUUGUGACCUCUUAAAUAAUUUGUAAAAAUUGUAUUGAGUGCCUUUAUAUAUUUUCAUUUAUUAGAUAUUGGGUACAUUCUUUUGGAAGGUUUACACAAUACCUUAACAAGAUUAACCUUAUGUAAACCAGUUAUUAAAAGCAAAAAUAUUAUGAAAUUGAUAUUCAUAUAAUAAGUUUGAUAGGCAAAUUCAGUCUACUGAAGCCAUUCUGUUGAACCAACAUCAAAUUCAAAAUGUUUUAACAACUCAAAUGGACAAACUGUAUUAAACAACUUUACUCAACAAAAAAAUUCUGAUGAUUCUUCUGAUCAUUUAGAGUCAUUUAAACUCCAAGUUUCUAUGUUAAAUAAUCAAAUUGAUACUCUUUUAAGAAAAUUAARUCAUCUAGAAAAGUAUCUAUUGCAACAAAAUGAUUUAAGAAAAAAAGCUGAAAAUAAGCUCCACGAGGAAAUGAUUUUAAAAUCAAAAUUAGAAACGGAAAAACUUGAAGUUAUUGCUAUGCUAACUAAUUUGAAAUUAGUAAAUGUUAGGUUAACUAAGGAAAACAUGGAACUUAAAGAAAUGAUAAUAAAUAAUCAAAAUGCACAGAAUUCAAUGACUUCAUCAUGUACAUCAGAG